rnacentral:rRNA from 1 species
UUCCGUAGGGUGAACCUGCGGAAGGAUCAUUACCUUUCAAUGCAGAAGAGUUGAGAUGGUUGAGUAUCUCGCCUCUCAAUUCUCGCUGUAUUUUACCCUUGUUUUUCUCAUACUAUUAUUUCCUCGGCAGGCUCGCCUGCCGGGUGAAACAACUUCAAACCUGUUUAAUUUUCAAUCAGCGUCUGAACAAAUUAAUAAUUACAACUUUCAACAACGGAUCUCUUGGUUCUGGCAUCGAUGAAGAACGCAGCGAAAUGCGAUAAGUAGUGUGAAUUGCAGAAUUCAGUGAAUCAUCGAAUCUUUGAACGCACAUUGCGCCCCUUGGUAUUCCAUGGGGCAUGCCUGUUCGAGCGUCAUUUGUACCUUCAAGCUCUGCUUGGUGUUGGGUGUUUGUCCUUGCUCUAGUGGCGGGACUCGCCUCAAAGUAAUUGGCAGCCAGUGUUUUGGUUUUGAAGCGCAGCACAAGUCGCGAUUCAAGUCUAUACGCUAGUUUCCACAAGUCUUUUAUCACUUUUGACCUCGGAUCAGGUAGGGAUACCCGCUGAACUUAAGCAUAUCAAUAAGCG